ncrna:Ornithorhynchus anatinus (platypus) microRNA oan-mir-1419g precursor
GGUGUCACAUGCAUUACUGAGAGAUGUCAUCACACGCUACCUCAUUCUGUGAUGUCAUCACUCAGUACCGCACAUGUCCACC